UACGGAGGGUGCAAGCGUUAAUCGGAUUUAUUGGGCGUAAAGAGCACGUAGGCGGAAUGGAAAGUUAGUUGUGAAAACCUGGGGCUCAACCCCGGGGCCGCAUCUAAAACUCCCAUUCUAGAGGAUGGACGGAGAAAAGGGAAUUCCACGUGUAGCGGUGAAAUGCGUAGAUAUGUGGAAGAACACCAGUGGCGAAGGCGCUUUUCUAGUUUAUACCUGACGCUGAGGUGCGAAAGCAAGGGGAGCAAACAGG
rnacentral:rRNA from 1 species